AUACUUACCUGGACGGGGUGAAUGGGCGAUCCAAAAGGCCCAUGGCCUACCUAGGUUGGUGACAUCCAUAGCACUUUGGAGGGGUGCCCACCUAAGGUCGGCCCACGCGGUCGAACCUAUGUCAUAAUUUGUGAUUGAAGGGGCCUGCGUUCGCGCGGCCCCUCU